rfam:Kaistia sp. SCN 65-12 ABS35_C0055, whole genome shotgun sequence.
CCGUUCAACUCGUCCCUCCGUCGAGGGGGACUACGGGAG